CUGGAAUCUCAAAGACCUCCUGGAGCCUCACAGGGUGUUGCCAAUCAUCUUGGAAAUGCAUGAAUUGCACUUUUGAAGAACUUCCUCUAAUCUUAAUGACUUUGUGAGUCUAAAUGUCUACUACUAGGAUGCGGAGAGUUCUGGGUAAAGUGGCAGAGCAGUUACCACCUGGGUGUGGGGCAGUGUGAAGGAUGCAAGGGCGGGAUCUGUUCUAGCGCUCAGAUGCAGAUGGUGGGAAGGGAGUUCUCAUUGCUGUGUGAUAAUGGAACCCUAGGUGUGAAAUAGAGACCUUGCACUGAUUUCACAACAAACCUACUUGAAAUCUGCUCACAUCCUGGCAAACCAGAAGAAUUCAUAGAAACUCACAUUUGUUAAACAGAGUAGAAAAUAUUUGGAGAUGUGAGCAAAUAGUUCUGCCCGGAAGAUUUUUUUCUUCUUUUUAAGUUGAAAAUGAUAGAGUAAUGAGUUAAUAGAUUAUUUAUAUUGUUUCAAAGGUAAUGAUUUACCUGGGUGAGGAUUCUGUUUGGGGGGACUGCUGGGUUUUCAUUUUUAUGUUCUUGAAAUCAGCCAAUUGGAAAGUCAUGAAAAAGUUGUACCAAGACCUAUAUUUCUUUCGUUUUGAUUAGUUUAGACACAGUCAUUUUCCAGGAAAGUUUUGUUUUCUAAAAAAAUCAGUCCAUCUACUCUGUUCAGAUGCUGUUGUGACCCCAUCUCUGAGUGAGUGUGGGCGGUUGGGGUGGAGUAGGUCAGGUUGGUCCCCUAUUCUGCCGCCCACUGACAGUUUUUCUUCUCUUCCUCAGGGAGCCAACCUUGCCCUUCGGGGCCUUUAUGCCAAACAAGCCUACAUUGUCUGCAUCAAAAGGACAGAAGAUUACAGAAUAAAAACAGAAAAAGGAGAAGAAGCAAUGAUUGAAAAGAAAAGCCACCUAUAUCCUCCUGCUAAGUUUCCCUUGAGAAGAAUGAGCAAAAUGAGCUCUAUAGCCUCAUAACCAUGGAAGGGAUUUCCUGUACAAUGUUCACAACUUUGGCAAGUGGCCACAUACGGAUUCGAGAAGAUCAUGGUGAUUCAAGCAUGGCUAUGUUGAGUGAAGUCAAUGUGAUUUUCAUUUGGAGAAGAAGAGAAUUGAUUCAUCAUGAUUGGACAAUGGUGAAUGAGACUCAGGAGCUGUGUCUGCUUCCUGACUUCUUACUUGACCAGGGAGGAUGUGAAUGGUUGUGUGACGGGGGUUGAGUGACUCUACUGUGGGAACAAUUCCCAGGAAUGAUCUAUCUUCCUCUCUCACUGAGUGUCUACUGUGUAUUUUUAUGGCACUAAUUACUACAUGGGGGCCCUGACAGGUCACAUUAGUCCGGGGAGAACACAAGAAUCAAGGAAAACAUUGUCAUAUCAUUUUCCUGAGGUUUGCUGGUGAAAUUUUGGAACUUCUUUUCCUUUGGACCUCAAAAUAUUAACUGCCAUGUUGUAUUAAUAUAAUGUACUGAUAUUCCUUGGCAUGAUUAAUUUUUUCCUACUAAAUUUGAAGCCUUUGAAAGCUUUGUGUCUUGGGAUCAAGACUAUAGGCCUGUUAUAUUUUUUCUCAGGCUUGCCUAAAAAAUGUUUAAGUAUGAGAAUGAAAUAAUAUUGAUGCUAUCUCUCUAUACACAGAGAUUCAGCUUAGGGGAGAGAUAAAUGUUUGUUCUUAACAACCAGCUCCAAACCAGGACCAAGCACCCCCCGCCCCCCCAUAUACAAAUCACUUCCCACAUUCCCAUAUGAUUGCACACUUGACUAUCACGGUGCUCAGUACUGUGAUUUUUUAAUUUAUUUUAUUAAACAUUUUUUUAAGAUUUUAUUUAUUUAUUCAUGAGAGAGACACACAGACACACACAGAGGCAGAGACAUAGGCAGAGGGAGAAGCAGGCUCCAUGCAGGGAGCCUGACAUGGGACUUGAUCCAGGGUCUCCAGGAUCACACCCUGGGCUGAAGGCGGUGCUAAACCGCUGAGCAACCUGGGCUGCCCAGUACUGUGAUUUUUAAAUUAUUUAUCUGUCUGAGUUUUCUUUCCUGGAUUAUAACUCCAAAAAGUUAGGAAGUUGGUCUUGGAUUUUCACUGUGUCUUCUUCAAACCUCAGUAUAGGGCAAAGCAUAUGGUAAUUGCUUAUUGAAUGAAUCAAUAAUCCAUUGAAUAAUCAUUUUAUUUUGUUCUCACAUUGCUUCUGAACUCGAUCAACAUCAGAGUCAGCCAAAUGCUUUUAUAAGCUAUUUUAAUUCUAUAUCAAGUUACUAAAACUUAAACAAUUUUCUGUUAAAAAAUAAAAUGUUUGUUUUUGCUGUGCUUCUCUUCA
rnacentral:lncRNA from 1 species